GUCCCGCCUCCAGCCCCUUCCUUUCUUAGUGGUUUGUCCCAGGCCUCUCACCUCUGUCUCAGGUCCCGCCUCCAGACCCUCCCUUUCUUAGUGGUUUGUCCCUGGUCUCUCACCUCUGUCUCAGGUCCCGCCUCUAGCCCCUCCCUUUCCUUGUGGUUUGCCCAAGGCCUCUCAUCUUUAUCUCAGGUCCCGCCUCCAGAACCUCCCUUUCUUAGUGGUUUGUCCC